rnacentral:rRNA from 1 species
UAGGGAAUCUUCCGCAAUGGACGCAAGUCUGACGGAGCAACGCCGCGCGAGUGAAGAAGGAUUUCGGUUCGUAAAACUCUGUUGUUAGAGAAGAACAGCGCAUAGAGUAACUGUUAUGCGUGUGACGGUAUCUAACCAGAAAGCCACGGCUAACUACGUGCCAGCAGCCGCGGUAAUACGUAGGUGGCAAGCGUUGUCCGGAUUUAUUGGGCGUAAAGCGAGCGCAGGCGGUCAAUUAAGUCUGAUGUGAAAGCCCCCGGCUCAACCGGGGAGGGUCAUUGGAAACUGGUUGACUGGAGUGCAGAAGAGGAGAGUGGAAUUCCGUGUGUAGCGGUGAAAUGCGUAGAUAUAUGGAGGAACACCAGUGGCGAAGGCGACUCUCUGGUCUGUAACUGACGCUGAGGCUCGAAAGCGUGGGUAGCAGGCAGG